AGAAGAUACGAGCAGGAGAUAAGAGGGCUCUGACACACAUCCGCUGGGAAGGCAAGGCCAGGCAUCUGAUGAGGAGGAUGAAGGUCACACGUAGGUGGAAGAGCCUUGUUGCUCCUUAAAGGAAGGAAUAAGCAGCUUGGACAAGGUCACAUUAAACUGAGAGCUGAGGCUCCCCACUGCUAA